UACGGGGGGGGCAAGCGUUGUUCGGAAUUACUGGGCGUAAAGGGCUCGUAGGUGGCCAACUAAGUCAUACGUGAAAUCCCUCAGCUUAACUGGGGAACUGCGUCUGAUACUGGAUGGCUUGAGUUUGGGAGAGGGAUGCGGAAUUCCAGGUGUAGCGGUGAAAUGCGUAGAUAUCGGAAGGAAGGCCGGUGGCGAAGGCGAGUCCCUGGACGAUACCUGACACUGAGGCACGAAAGCCAAGGGAGCAAACAGG
rnacentral:rRNA from 1 species